AUGGGCGGCGGCGGCGGCGGCAGCCCGACGGCGAGCAACAGCAGCAGCGACGAUGACGGAGACGCCUCGUGGAGGGCGGCCAUCGACUCCGUCGCUGUAGGGGGCUUCGGCUACCCGUCGUCCAACGGCGCGGCGAAGGCCGCCUCUGGCGGCGUCGGCGUCGAGGAGGACAGCAACGGGCUGGAGCAGCCGCCGCAGGAUGAGGGGAAGGCGCAAACGCCUGGGCUCAAGCUGUACCAGAUCAAGGUAAGAAAUAUGUUGGACAAUAUGUUAGAGAGAAAUCUCGAAAUAGUGAGGAAUCCUUGCUUGAACGUGGCUGACCCCGAGGAAACAGGGGGAGGGAUAAAGUUAUUUAAAAAGGCACCUCCUGGCAUCAGAAUGGAUGCCGUAGAUAAAUACCAUGUGCAACUCAAGAGACCAAAGAUUCUUCCUGGGCCAGAGGUCGACGAGAAAUCAAAGAAGUUCAGACAUAUGCUUCAGUCUGUUGUUGUUGAUGGUAACGACGUACUUGUUUCCGCGAAAGAAGCAUCCCAAAUAUCAUUGGCUAGAAUGGAAGCUAGAGAAACUGCAGCAAAGACCAAAGCCAAGAGGGAGGAAGAAAGGGUGAACCAGCUGAAGAAGGUCAGGGGAGAGAAAUGGCUUCCUUCCAUUGCUAGUAAAAUGAAGAAAGAAAAAUCUUGGGAGCAAUGGCAGGAAAAAAAGCUCAGGAGCAACGGCAGUGAUGGUGGAUCAUUUCAGCUGGGCCGCAUAUGCUAA
rnacentral:rRNA from 1 species